ACAGUGUGCAUUUGUUGCGCUAGAAGUGUGAAACUCCACCCACAGACGUUGUAGUGUAUCUUAUGACUAACUUUGUUUGUGUUUCUCUCUCAGUCCAAAAGUGUGGACGUCAGUCGACUCCUACACAGAGUCAAGCUGAUUCUGUUGGCAUUAUUCGAGGUGGCUGGAAUCCUUUCCAAUAUUCACGUGUCCUCAUACGUCCCCUGCAAACAGGGAGCAGGUUAUGGGAAUAUGCAUUCUGGGAAAUGAGGCACUGUCACACGGAACAGAACAGGCAUUCUUUCUUAAACCUUUCAAGAAGAAAUGCUCUGUGGCUUUGAUAAAGUCCUUGCCUGGACGAGUGCGCCCAUCAUCUGGAGAGGAGGAGGGUCGGAUCUAAACCAGCGGUCCUCGGAUCAAACAGGUGUUACUCCUUCACCUGUGAGGCCAGAAUCAAAGGCUGGCUUUAUCAGGGAGCACAGCACACGAUGCCCGGCUCAAGAGACACAUGCGCAGGUUCAAACGCAGCUUCAGAAGAAAGAGCAGGAGCUGCUUCUCCUCCUCGUUCUCUGAGGAUGUGAGGAGGUACGCUCCUCUAACAAUCACAGAAGAACACAUGCUGCUGAUACCGUUAGGGGGUGUUUUAAGUGACCAUAUGAAAGAAAAUUCACAAAUGAGAACUUUUUAAUAUCUCUAUUGUUUCUCCUGGAUGAAAUGUAAAGCAAAUGGAGACUUUUGGAAAUACACAGGAAUCAUAAAUGUUUUUCCAUGCAGGUAAAUUAUUGAGACAUUCCUCACCAACAAUCUUUUUGUUUUAAAAUCAGCACACGAAAAGACAUUUUAGUAACAUGUUCUUCUUUCAUAGGACCUUCUCAGCAUCUUCUGAGCUUCACAACAGGUGGGGGUUUUAUCUUUAUAAGCAGUGAAUACACUUUCUACUUUUAAUAUUGAUUCAUUUAUGUGUUUUUGUUAAACUAAAAACUGCUCUUUAAAGGCAUUUUAUUAUAUAAUAAAUAAUAAAUUUAUUAUAUAAUCUAUCUAUCCUUACUUCAAUUUACUACAUUGAACUACUGGACCAUCCAACAACCAAACAAAUAAAUAAAAAAUUAAAUAACAUAAAACUAAAAAAUAAAAUAAAAUGAGACAUUUUUAUGUGAUUAUGCAAUAAUUUGCAUCCAAAUAAAUAUACCAUAUAUAUUUAACUUUAUUUAAUUUAAAAUUGUUUUUAAUUGUUUUGUUUCAUAUUAUUAUUUUAACCUCACUUUGAUUUGUUACACUGGAAUACUGGACUAUCAAAAAAAAAAAAAAAAAAAAAAUGGCUACGUAAUAUUUGCAGCAAAAUAACAAUAUCUUGAUACAAACCAUUACUGUGAUUUGGUGGAACUACUGUAUAUCUAUUUUGUCCAACCAAUUAAUUAUUAUCUCCAGUGCUACAAUCUUCUCUCUUUUUAUGUAUUUUAGGCCUGUAAAAGAUUUUAAGGAGCUGAACGAAGCUUGUGGCGUUAUCGAAUGAAACUUGAAGAAACCACAUCAAACAUCUGAGUGCUCAGGAAGCCAUGACUGAUGUGAUUGUGUUUUGGAGGCAAUAACAAACCAAGCAUUUCAUAAUUAAUUCAAGAUUGCUUUCCACCGAAACAUAACAUUUGAAAUAAAGGUUGCAUUAGCCGUUCUGUUCCACAUCAUAGACCAUCUUAGUCAGAAAAAGCUCAAGUCUAAACUCGCGGAUCAAUCGAGGCAGAUAUUUAAAACACGAGCAACUGGCAAGUGCAGCAUUUUUUUCCUGACUGAAGACAGAGGAACGGCCGCGAUUUAUGAGACUCACCACAGGCGAAGCUUUUCUCUGUAAUGCUGAGAAUGACAAUUCAUUUGACUGGAUUGGAAAUGUGAUUCCAGCCGACAGGCCGUAGUUUAAAUUCAGUUUUCCGUGCGACUGUGAGUGUGUGACAGAUUUUACCCACAAACCCUGAAGGCCAGUGUGGUUUGAUGAGUUGUGUCACACUGACAGCAGAUACAUCGAGUCCUCACUCACUUGUUCUCUCACUUCAGCUCUGGCCUGGAAAACCAUCGCAUUAAACAGCAUUUGUGUAGAUAUGUGAGGGGUUGGACACAUUACAUUGGAGUCGUGUGGAUUAAAGCUGAGCUGAUCUGAUAUGAGGCCGAUCCUACAGAUAGAAGAGAGCACUGUAUUGGCUUUAUCAUCACAAACCACCGGCUACACCGCAAUCAGAUCAAUCCUCUGUACUCAUCCCGCUCUACAGAGAUCCGACACACACCCAGAGGAAAGGCUUAUUGCUCAGAGGUUACGCUUUCAUACAGCGGAGAGCAGCUCAGGUCAUUUGACCUUGGGAGAAUUUCAAAUAGCUGUUUUCUAUUGUAAUAUAUUGUAAAAUGUAAUUUAUUCCUGUGAUCAAAGGUGAAUUUUCAGCAUCAUUAAUCCAGUCUUCAGUAUCACAUGAUCCUUCAGAAAUCAUUGGAUUUACAUCAGUGUUAUGUGGUAUAAAACCCCUGCUGCCUCUUUCACUGGAAUGAAUGAAAUAUAUAUGAAUUGUUGAGUCAUUGUCUUCAGCCACGGGCUCCUUGUGAAACUCAGAAUCAAAGCGUUCAGUCUAAAAGCCUGUUCAUCCACCCGCGCUUGUUCUUAUUAAACGUGAAACCUGCUCUUUGCAGCCAACAUCCCAAUCAAUGUUACACACACACGCUGCGAGGUGUCAAACCAGAGUCUCUGGAGAUCAUCCAUGCAUCACCGUCGGCUCCAUGCCACUGUGGAAUAUUUAAUGUCAACAAACAUGUCAGUAAAUGUAUGGGAUGGCCAGGCUACAGGAACAACGUGCUGAUUAGAGCUGUGGACGAAAAGCGAGAGUUUUCACACAAGCGGAUCGCACAACAGAUUCUCUUACAUCAUUGUGACAGUCAGACACCUGUUCAAUGCACACAGCUCCCAAUCCACCUGAUAUAUAACCCUUAAAUAGUUAUAGAUGUCUAAAAACGGCAUGCUACAUGUACUCUGUGUGCAUAUGUUCAAGUACCGUAAACAGACGUCAUGAAUUUACGAGCCCUCUCCCGAGAUACUGUCAUCGUACAACCAAUUUGUCUUGAUAAUUAGCUGUAGAUGAUUGCUAUAAAUA
ensembl:lncRNA